AAACUAACAGUAAACAUAUGUACAGUUUUCCAUAAAAAAAUGCAUCAAAGUAAAGCAGUGAUACGCAAAUAAUUAAUCGAACAAGCCAGGAAGUUUCGUAUUUUCUUUUUUUAACCGUGAACAUACAUUUGAACUCAGAUUUAAGUUUCCGGCCAAAGACGUUUUAAAGAAUUUAAAAUUUUGCAUGGCUUCGCGUAUGACAGUGUCAGCCUUGCCUGUAUACGCGGAUGGAAUGUUCCAGUCGAGAAAUGUUUCCGACGCAAGAACAGAAUGUUCAAGACCGCCAUCACGAAGGUGUUUGUUUAAAGUCGAACCCAUUGACUUCAACCACGGACUCUAAACUGCUUUUUAAAGCGCAAUGCUCCAACAAAAAAAACGACAUCUCCGAUUCCACGGAAGAUAUUUUCAUCGGUCAUAAUCCAUUUGAAACAUUCCUUAUUAGAGGUAAAAAUGGACGGUCAUUAUUGAACACACGAUGUAGCAAACACUUGUACUGCUGUAUUAAAACUUCCACCGUUCCAAUAGCUAGGAAUCUAAACGCACCAACCACCAAAGACCGGAACCCUUCAAUUUCAACGGCUAGGCAGGACAGAUCAGUUGUGCGGGAACGAAUUUUGUGGACUACUUCCGGAAUUUUUUGAGUCACUCAAAGUGUAAAAUGUUGCCUGAAUGUAGUUAAAAUAUUCUAUCAUAUUUUUACUGCAACUUUAUAUCCCUUGUCUUCGUGCAAUGGCACAUCUUUAUACUCUUUUUGACUUAUUGCCGGAAAAGCUUCAGUAAACAAAGGAAAAAAUGAGGAAAUAAGGGAAAGAUUUUCAUCCAGGGAAAAGGCAUUUAAGGCGGCAAUAGAGGACGUUAUGCAGCUCUCGAAUCCAAUUACCAACUCGUACUUGUCCCAUGGCAACGUUAAGAAAUCUUGCAAAUGACUGCUCAAAAUGCCAAGCUUCUUUGCGAUAUCCGCAUAGGCCAUAGAGCAAUACCCUGGACAAAAAAGUUACGCUUGUAAUGGCGUUCACUUUACCUUGGACCUCAAUAGCUCUUGCUGUCUUUUCGCGCCGGACAUUGGUCAAUUCUUUUGACUUUUCCUGAUAGUAAGAAACUACUAUGGUCCAGUUUUUUAAAAAUGAAAUCCACACAUUACUUUCGUAUUGUGCCCAGCGAGUAGUGCAAAAAUUCUGCGAAGCGUACCAGCGCACUCCCAUCGUAGUGGCCAACUCUAAACCCUCCUCAUAACUUUCCCCCCAUUUGAAAUGCAAAGCAUGUUGUUGGAUUAUCCCGACAAUUCCGGUUUUGUGUUUAUUUUGGAGCCAGUGUGGCGCAUGUUUUUCGUGCCUAUCAAGUAAGUUCUAAACCGUGUCCCAAAUCCCAAUUGACCAUGCACCAUUCGUCCGAAACACCGAUUGCAUUUUCUCAGUGGCGUCCCAUUUUAAGCAAGGUUUCGCCAUCCACAGCUGCGGCUGUAACUUGCUGUCCUGCAUUAACCAUAAAGUUUUUUGAGACUUGGACGAUUUUAUUAACCAAGUCUUCACCAGUAAGUUCGGUCCCCAUGGUUGGUGCGUCUAAGAAAAUGUCACAGGAUAAAUGUUCCAAUACAUUAAUUGAAAUAGCAGUGUGUAUUCCUUUUCUGUUCGUUGGUCUGUUUGUAACUGCUAGGUAACGGCAAAUACCUUCUCUGUGGUUGCACACUUUUAUUAAAUCCAGUGAUGGGUGUCAACAAUGUUGAAGAGGAAGAAAAUACUGGAAAAUAGCUGUGGUCGUUUAUCGUUGGAUCUACCAAUGGGGCAUCAAGGUUGUAUUUUCUUGUAGUUUCCAUUUCACUUGUUGUUUUUUCUACUGUUGUUGUAAUUGCAAGAAUAUCUGCAUUAUUUGAUGGAUCUUGCAUACAGUUACCUCUUGUUUUUGUUUGCUAUCAACACUUUCGCUUAAUACAAAACUUGCUUUUUAUUCAUAU